ensembl:lncRNA
GUCCGCCUGCUGCCAGCGGAGCCCUCCGCCCCGCGCUCGUUCGCUGGUUCGCAGCCUCGGGUGUGUGUCCAGGGGCCGCUUGCAUAAACUCUGUGUUACCGUUCAAUCUUUCCCAGAAUCAGAGUCUUUUCCGAUGAGUCGGCUCUUCAAAUCAGCCCAAGUAUCAGAGCUUCAGCUUCAGCAUCAGUCCCUCCAACAUGUAUUCAGGGUUGAUUUCCUUUAGGAUUGACUGAUUUGAUCUCCUUGUAGGCCAAGGGACUCUCAAGCGUCUUCUCCAGCACCGCAGUUCAAAAGCAUCAGUUCUUCGGCACUGAGACUUCUUUAUGGUCCAAUUCUCACUUCUGUACAUGACUACUGGAAAAACCAUAGCUUUGACUAGAUAGACCUUUGUCAGCAGAGUGGUAUCUCUACUUUUUAAUAUGCUGUCCAGGUUUGUCAUAAUUUUCGUCCAAGGAGCAAGCAUCCUUUAAUUUCAUGGCUGCAGUCACCGUCUGCAGCUAUUUAAUUGCUCCCUUUUGACAAAUGGACUGCAGACAUGGGAGAAGAUGGCUUUGGGGAGGCUGAGGAGUGGAGGUAGGGGAGACAGAACUCUUUGUACAUCAUUGCAACUUUUCUGAAAUAAUAGUCUGGAUGAGCUAAACCUAUCCAAAGUAAAAACUUCCUUUUCAUGAAGUCAACAUGAAUUUUGGCCCAGAUGGGGCUGUGUCUCUGGGGGAGGCUUAUGCUUCAGGCUACAGAAUACACGGAGCCCUUUGUCACCCUCGAGAAUCGGUGACGUUGGGUCAGGGGGCCUUGGCUCACCAGACAUGAGUGUAAGGCCGCCUCGGGGCCAAGAGGAUUGGAGGGAGGAGCAGGCUUGGGAACAAGAGGGAUAAGUACCCAACCCUUUCCUUUUUCUCCCCCUCUCCUCUGGAUUACCAGAAAGUCUUGUUGGUUCUGCCUCCAAAAUGCAUCCUGAUUUUGUUCUCUCUACUACCUGGCACCACCCAGCCUUCAUCCCUGCUCCAACCCAUCCCUCUGGCCUCUUCAGCCUCGUCUCCUCCAUCACUCUGUUCCAGCCACCCUGACCCCCUUGUCCAGGACUUUUCAGCCUCCGGGCCUUUGCACUGGCUAUUCCAUCUGCC